rnacentral:lncRNA from 1 species
AAUAUAGAUGGAUUGAAUGUAUUUCACCCCAUAAUUUUUCUGUUUCCUCAUCUGUAGAAUGAGAAAGAUGAUUCUAUGAUCUCUUUGGACUUCAUCUCCUUGAUCUAAAUGAUGAGGAAUUUGGACAAGUUGAUAUCUAAGAACCUUUCCAGAAAAAGAAGUUUUGCACUAGAUGUUGAGAAGUUUACAUUGGAUCCUUAAGACAAGAAGAUAGAACAACCAUAGUAAGGCAUCACACAGCUCCUUUAAUGGACCGUAUACUCUAU